rnacentral:rRNA from 1 species
GAUGAACGCUAGCGGCAGGCUUAACACAUGCAAGUCGAGGGGUAACUAGAGUGACAGCAAUAUUACUUUGGCUAGACCGGCGCACGGGUGCGUAACACGUAUGCAACCUACCUUAUACUGGGGAAUAACUUCGAGAAAUCGGCGCUAAUACCCCAUAACAUUGCGAAGAGGCAUCUCUUUGCAAUUAAAGCUCCGGCGGUAUAAGAUGGGCAUGCGUCCAAUUAGCUAGUUGGUGAGGUAACGGCUCACCAAGGCUACGAUUGGUAGGGGUUCUGAGAGGAUGAUCCCCCACACUGGUACUGAGACACGGACCAGACUCCUACGGGAGGCAGCAGUGAGGAAUAUUGCGCAAUGGACGAAAGUCUGACGCAGCCAUGCCGCGUGCAGGAUGACGGCCCUAUGGGUUGUAAACUGCUUUUGUACAGGAAUAAACCCUUCUACGUGUAGGAGGCUGAAGGUACCGUAAGAAUAAGCACCGGCUAACUCCGUGCCAGCCGCCGCUGUAAAAC